UAAACGCAGGCUACGGGAGCCAGCAGUGGCAACACGCUCGGGUCCCCUUCCACACUGUGGAAGCUUUGUUAUUUCACUCUUUGGGUCCACACUGCUUUUAUGAGCUGUAACACUCACCGCAAAAGUCUGCAGCUUCACUCCUGAAGCCAGGGAGACCACGAGCCCACCGGGAGGAACGAACAACUCCAGACGCGCCACCUUAAGAGCUGCAACACUCGCCGCGAGGGUCCGCGGCUUCAUUCUUGAAGUCAGUGAGACCAAGAACCCACCAAUUCCGGACACAGCACCAACCUUCUACUUGGACAAGAUGUGGAGUGAUGGAGGCUGACAUGAUGUAACAGUCAGAAAAGAAGACUUGACAAUCAAAUGAAACAUAUGAAGAUGCUAGGUUGCUGGCUUUGAAGAUGGAAGAAAGGACCGCAAGGCAAGGCUGCAGGCAACCCCUAGAAACUGAAAAAUGAAAGGCAGCUGUUUGUCGACUUUCACCUCCAGAAGGAACGCAGCCCUCCCUGACACAGAGUAGAGGAUUUCUGACCUCUAGAACUGUAAAAUAAUAAAUUUGUUGGUUUAGACCACUAAAUUUGUACUAUUUUUCUAAGCAGUAAUUAGAGACUGGUAAAAAUUGUAGUACUUGAAAAUGUGAUGCUGCUAUAACAAAUAAAAAUUUGAAAUUGGCUUUAGGAUU
rnacentral:lncRNA from 10 species